GAAAUGCGAUACGUAAUGCGAAUUGCAGAAUUCAGUGAAUCAUCAAAUCUUUGAACGCAAAUUGCGCUCUUGGGUAGCCCUAGGAGCACACCUCUCUCAGUAUCGGUUCAAACAACUCUCAGCAGCGUGUUGGAAUUUAUUUCAAUGCGUGUUGGCUGGAUAAUGAGAGUCUGAGUGCUUGCAUUCAGUCUCUUUAAGUACAUGGAGUAAAUAAAUACUAGUGAUCAGCUCUGCUUCGGCAGAUAGUCAAUUCUUGGCUGUUGUUCAGUAGUGACGU
rnacentral:misc_RNA from 1 species